rnacentral:rRNA from 1 species
UGGGUAACCUGCCUCAAAGAGGGGAAUAGCCUCCCGAAAGGGAGAUUAAUACCGCAUAAUAUGUUUAGGUCGCAUGACUUUAACAUCAAAGGAUUUUCUUAGGAAAUUCCACUUUGAGAUGGACCCGCGGCGCAUUAGCUAGUUGGUGAGGUAACGGCUCACCAAGGCAACGAUGCGUAGCCGACCUGAGAGGGUGAUCGGCCACAUUGAACUGAGACACGGUCCAGACUCCGUAGGGA